UACGGAGGAUGCGAGCGUUAUCCGGAUUUAUUGGGUUUAAAGGGUGCGUAGGCGGGUUCUUAAGUCAGUUGUGAAAGUUUGCGGCUCAACCGUAAAAUUGCAAUUGAUACUGGGAACCUUGAGUAUGGCAAAGGUUAGCGGAAUUCGUGGUGUAGCGGUGAAAUGCUUAGAUAUCACGAAGAACUCCGAUUGCGUAGGCAGCUGACUGGACCAUAACUGACGCUGAGGCA
rnacentral:rRNA from 1 species